rnacentral:rRNA from 1 species
GAUGAACGCUGGCGGCGUGCCUAAUACAUGCAAGUCGAGCGAACGGACGAGAAGCUUGCUUCUCUGAUGUUAGCGGCGGACGGGUGAGUAACACGUGGAUAACCUACCUAUAAGACUGGGAUAACUUCGGGAAACCGGAGCUAAUACCGGAUAAUAUUUUGAACCGCAUGGUUCAAAAGUGAAAGACGGUCUUGCUGUCACUUAUAGAUGGAUCCGCGCUGCAUUAGCUAGUUGGUAAGGUAACGGCUUACCAAGGCAACGAUGCAUAGCCGACCUGAGAGGGUGAUCGGCCACACUGGAACUGAGACACGGUCCAGACUCCUACGGGAGGCAGCAGUAGGGAAUCUUCCGCAAUGGGCGAAAGCCUGACGGAGCAACGCCGCGUGAGUGAUGAAGGUCUUCGGAUCGUAAAACUCUGUUAUUAGGGAAGAACAUAUGUGUAAGUAACUGUGCACAUCUUGACGGUACCUAAUCAGAAAGCCACGGCUAACUACGUGCCAGCAGCCGCGGUAAUACGUAGGUGGCAAGCGUUAUCCGGAAUUAUUGGGCGUAAAGCGCGCGUAGGCGAUUUUUUAAGUCUGAUGUGAAAGCCCACGGCUCAACCGUGGAGGGUCAUUGGAAACUGGAAAACUUGAGUGCAGAAGAGGAAAGUGGAAUUCCAUGUGUAGCGGUGAAAUGCGCAGAGAUAUGGAGGAACACCAGUGGCGAAGGCGACUUUCUGGUCUGUAACUGACGCUGAUGUGCGAAAGCGUGGGGAUCAAACAGGAUUAGAUACCCUGGUAGUCCACGCCGUAAACGAUGAGUGCUAAGUGUUAGGGGGUUUCCGCCCCUUAGUGCUGCAGCUAACGCAUUAAGCACUCCGCCUGGGGAGUACGACCGCAAGGUUGAAACUCAAAGGAAUUGACGGGGACCCGCACAAGCGGUGGAGCAUGUGGUUUAAUUCGAAGCAACGCGAAGAACCUUACCAAAUCUUGACAUCCUUUGACAACUCUAGAGAUAGAGCCUUCCCCUUCGGGGGACAAAGUGACAGGUGGUGCAUGGUUGUCGUCAGCUCGUGUCGUGAGAUGUUGGGUUAAGUCCCGCAACGAGCGCAACCCUUAAGCUUAGUUGCCAUCAUUAAGUUGGGCACUCUAAGUUGACUGCCGGUGACAAACCGGAGGAAGGUGGGGAUGACGUCAAAUCAUCAUGCCCCUUAUGAUUUGGGCUACACACGUGCUACAAUGGACAAUACAAAGGGCAGCGAAACCGCGAGGUCAAGCAAAUCCCAUAAAGUUGUUCUCAGUUCGGAUUGUAGUCUGCAACUCGACUACAUGAAGCUGGAAUCGCUAGUAAUCGUAGAUCAGCAUGCUACGGUGAAUACGUUCCCGGGUCU